CACAGAGGUCUACCUCUUCUGCUCUCUGGGCCUUCUGGCCUGCAGCACCAUGGAAACAGCUGUGGUGUUCCAGUGCUCCAGUGGCAGGAACAGGUGGGUGAGGGACAAGAUCUUCCCCUGCCUGUCACGCCUGCUAGGGAGGAACCCCAGGGCCGCGACCCCAACCGAUGGUGUGCCAGAGGAGGGCCCAGGUUGGGGCCCUGCCAGCCCUGAUGAGGAACCAAAUGCCUUGGGGGUGCUCCAGCAGCGUCUGGUCCAGGUGAGGAGGAACCUGCAGCACCUCCGCCGUGAGCAGGACCAGCGAGCCUGGAGCCAGGAGCUGGGUACCAUGCUGGACCGCACAUACCUGUACCUGCACUGCAUCACCCUGGUGACAGGGGGCAUUGUGCUGCACUUACAGUGGCUCAGGGCCCCCUGACAGCCCUGCUCUCACUUGCACGUGGGGCUCAACCAUCUUCAGAUGACCGAGACUUCUGGCUCCCUGUGCACAGAAGGUGGCAGCAGAGAUCUGUUAGAGCUGAAUACAGUUUGUACCACAUCACAGAAUUUCCCAGUAUAAUAUACACACACACACACACACACACACACACACACACACACACACACACACACACACACACACACACACACACACAGUCUACAACCACUUAUCCCAAGGAGGGUUGCGGCAAACCGGAGCCUGACCCGGCAAUACAGGGCGCAAGGCUGGAGGGGGGGAGGGGACAGGGCACCAGUUUGUCGCAAGGCACCCCAAGCAGGACUCGAACCCCAGACCCACCAGAGAGCGGGACCUGGCCAAACCCACUGUGCCACUGCACCCCCCCAAGUACAAUAGGAUAUUACUAAAUACAAUUAAUGAAUAGUAAACACAAUAUUUUAGUAACUUUUCAGCGAGCAGGUGUUCUUACAGACAUUACUUUGGAUGUGCACUGGAAAAGACUGGAAGGAGUAAUGAUGGACAAAUCAGUCAUUCACCAGUUGAGUUCUGCUAACAUUUGUGGUUAAACGUACAAUAAAUAAAAUAUGCU
rnacentral:lncRNA from 1 species